rnacentral:rRNA from 1 species
AGCAGUCGCCGCGGGAAUACGAAGGGGGCUAGCGUUGUUCGGAAUUACUGGGCGUAAAGCGCACGCAGGCGGCUCGAUAAAUUAGAAGUGAAAGCCUUGGGCUUAACCUGAGAAUUGCUUUUAAGACUGUCGAGCUAGAAUCCGGAAGAGGGUAGUGGAAUUCCGAGUGUAGAGGUGAAAUUCGUAGAUAUUCGGAAGAACACCAGUGGCGAAGGCGACUACCUGGUCUGGCAUUGACGCUCAUGUGCGAAAGCGUGGGGAGCAAACAGGAUUAGAUACCCCCGUAGUCCCUGUCUCUUAUAC